rnacentral:rRNA from 1 species
AUUGAACGCUGGCGGCGUGCCUAAUACAUGCAAGUAGGACGCAGUUGCGAACGGGUGAGUAACGCGUAUGUAACUGCCUAUUAGAGGGGGCUAACUAUUGGAAACGAUAGCUAAUACCGCCUACUAGUAGAUGGACCUUCGUUGUAUUGGCUAGUAGGUAGGGGAAUGGCCUACCUAGGCGGAGAUACAUAACCGACCGGAGAGGGUGAUCGGCCAAACCGGGACUGAGACAAGGCUCAGACUCCUACGGGAGGCAGCAGUAGGGAAUCUUCGGCAAUGGGGGGAACCCUGACCGAGCAACGCCGCGGGAGUGAAGAAGGUUUUCGGAUCGGAAAGCUCUGUUGUUAAGGAAGCGGUACUUAACCAGAAAGGGACGGCUAACUACGUGCCAGCCGCCGCGGUAAUAC